UGAGAAGUAGCAGGCUUGGCUUCCUGGUUUUGCGUAAAGUGGUAUGUUAGUUAGCUUUUUAUAAAUGAAAUCCGUGUGACUGACCACUUGGAGACCAGUGUCACCAAGGUCAAAUCUAAGACCUAUUAGGCCUACCUUAAAGGCUCUAGAGUAUGGACCUGAGAUCAGUGCUGUAGGUUGCCUUCAGCUGUGCCUCUGAGAAGGCUUGCUGAUGGCAACUAAUGAAAUGUCUGACUGGAUCUGGCUCUACCCUCUGUUGGUUAGAUUAAUAGCCUUUCUGAAGAGCAUCAAAAGUCAAGGUUGCCCAAGUGUGUCAAGUUCUACAAGCUCUGUGUGCCUACAUACACGUUCUAUGUAUAGUAUGCCAAGAAUGUAACCUCUUGACUGCUCUUUGCAUAGGCCAUGUCUUACGUGUACAUCCUGUGUAUACCUGAAGGAUGAGGCGAUGUCGCAGGAAAAGGAAGCUUGGUACCAGAGUAGAAAAUCUUUAAAAACAUUAUUGUCCUGUACCAGUCAUUGAAUGGUAAAGUCCUUGCCAGUUGCCUCCUGUCUUCUGCUAGUGUUAAUGAAACUACAGCAGUCCACAUGUGUAAACAUGAAGCACCAAUUAGAGGCACUUUAUUCUGAUUCAGAAUCAAAUCUGACUUCGAGUAAAUAUUUGUGGGAUAUAUAACCUAGGUUCAAUUGCUAGCAUCCAUGUGGUGGUUCACAGUUAUCUGUAACUGGUUCAGCAGAUCCAAAGUCCACGGGGACCAGAUAUGCAUGUGGUACACAAGGUGGAAGCAAAAUAUUCACACAUUAAAUAUUUCAGCAUGGA
rnacentral:lncRNA from 1 species